UAACGGGGGGGACCUGCCUCAUACAACGGGAUACNCGAGGGAAACUUGGAGGGCGGNAUAAGACCACACUACCGNAUGGUAGAGGGGUAAAAGGGGCAACCUGGNAUGAGAUGGACUCGCGUUNCAUUAGCUAGUUGGUGAGGUAACGGNCCACCAAGGCGACGAUGCGUAGCCGACCUGAGAGGGUGAUCGGCCACAUUGGGACUGAGAUACGGCCCAGACUCCUACGGGAGGCAGCAGUGGGGAAUAUUGGGCAAUGGAGGAAACUCUGACCCAUUNAUGCCGCGUGAAUGAAGAAGGUCUUCGGAUUGUAAAGUUCUUUAGUCAGGGAAGAAGUCAAUGACGGUNNCUGAAGAACAAUNUCCGGCUAACUACGUGCCAGCAGCNNUUUUUNAUACGUAGGGAGCNNGCGCCGUUCGGAAUGACUGGGCGUAAAGGGUGCGUAGGCGNUUGUACAAGUUAGAANUGAAAUACCCANGGNUUUACUCGGGUGCUGCUUCUAAAACUGUAUGACUUGAGUGCAGUAGAGGUUAGNGGAAUUCCUAGNGUAGCGGUGGAAUGCGUANAUAUUAGGAGGAACACCGGUGGCGAAGGCGGCUUACUGGACUGUAACUGACGUUGAGGCUCGAAAGCGUGGGGAGCAACAGGAUUAGAUACCCUGGUAGUCCACGCCGUAAACGAUGAUUACUAGGUGU
rnacentral:rRNA from 1 species